rnacentral:sRNA from 1 species
AGCAAAGAUUUUGACGUCUCAACCAUUCUAGUAUCUAUCUAGCUAGCUAGCGUAUAAUUAUACCUCUUCCAUCUCAUUUCCACUUCCUUUCCUUGUAUUACAUUCUCAUAAUUCAGUAGCUGCAUAGUUCCUGCUUCUUCUUCCUUUAUCUUGACCUCCGCUCCAUCACCAUCAAAAGAAACGAAUAUCCUAUACAUGGAUGAGGGCAGCCAGGCAAGUUUAUCAUUUGGUUUAUGCUUCUUUGUCAGUUGGAUCUUGUUAAGUGGUAAGCACAAAGAGAAAACGGGGAUGUUGGAAUGGCUCAAUCAAAUCAAAUCUCCCAAGCUUUUUAUGGGUGUUUUAAUUUGAUUGAGCCGUGCCAAUAUCACGUUAAUUACUUAUCUUCAUAUAAUUAUAUAUUCUUUUUCUUUUUCUUUUGUUUCAGUUUCACACUACGAAUAUUCAUGCUAUAACAAGUUCUUUUCUUGAGGUAUAUCUUUCCACUGACAAAGUAGAAGGGACUGAAAUGAUCUCAUGCAUAUAUUUCAUGAAAUUCUUCUUCCCCAGCCUCCUUUGCAUGCACAAAUAUCCUGGAAAAUUGUUUAGGAGCAAAAUUAUAUACACUCAAAAAUCCUCUCACAGGAUGGGGAUUAUCCCAAACCAAUACUGUGGAUUUUAGCAAAUAAUAGAUUAGAUCCAUUCCUGGCUUUUGUCUCUGAUGAAACAGUGAGGACUGAGGAUAAUCUUGAUCAGAAUAGGCUGUCCGAAAAGGAACUGCGUAGCAACCAUAUAAAUUGUCUUAUUUUAACGACCCAAGUGUGCCAAGAAAAUAUUUUGGUCCUCUCCAGCUGAGCCAUGUCAUCCUUGUGGUAGUGGCCCAUCAUUUUUCAUCCUCUUUUCUUCUUCACGACCAAAUCUAAUGUGAAAAGUGAAACAAUAUCGUCAACUGAAAGACCAAAAACCCUAAGCUCCAUGUAUAUAGCAGCAUGGUUUUGUUAGUGAACUGAUGCAGAUCUUCGUAGUUAAGGUGAAGAAAUUGGCAUCUUCAGUAACUUGGCAUCAUAAGAGAAUUCAGGGAGGGAAUAUAUCCACAUAGCAAAGCACAACUUAACAAUUCCCAUUGGUCAGGGUUCUUCCAACCUCAUUAAUCACAUGUGGUUCCAAUACAUCUCUCGUUAAUUUAUUCCAUUUUCAUCCAUAUUCAUGCUUGACACGCUGAAUUGCCGGUGCUCAGUGAAAACGAGAUGACACUUUGCAGUAUUACCAGUUUAGCUCAUACCUCUGCCUAGAAUGUUUGACAGACUAGAGGAAUGUCAGGCAUGAUGCCAAAUUCUCCUUUUUCUAAUGAAGUAAUUUUCUUAUUGCUACGUAUGGUUUGGUGGGAGCGAAGGGCAUAUGGUAAAAGUGGGGAAAAGGGGAAAAAGAGAAUCUGCACUUUCCCAUGCCCCAUGACCCAAUAUUUCCACAAUUGGAAAGAAAAUGUAAAGAAAACAUCCAUUUCAUUAGAAGUAAUCAUUUGAUGAUUCAGAAUUAUAUAUGUCCAUUAACUA